UAUUAUUAUUUUUUUCUUUAGUUUAAUGUUUCCUGUAAGAAUACUGUUUGAACAAUGGGAUGGAUUUUGACAAAAUUUGAUUGUUGUUGAUUUGUUUUCAGUAAUAAUAAUAAUAAUAAUAUGAUAAACGACAUUUAUAUGUAUUGUUUUCAGAUUUUUCGUGGGCUGCCACCUGCAAUAUUCACUAUCCCGUAGUCACCAGUGACGGUAAAAUAAUUAGGCACUCGUGCGAUUUCAAAUACUCGACAAUUUUUGAGUGCUCGACUAUUGAACUUGACAUGAUUUUAAAAAAAUCAAUAUUCUUCAGAUUCUAGUUAAAUUUUAACGUAACAUUUUUUUGUCGAAUUUUCACU